CUCGACCUCAACUCGGACGAGAUGACCCCCUGAAUUUAAGCAUAUUACUAAGGGGAGGAAAAGAAAAUAACGAUGAUUCCCUCAGUAAGGGCGACUGAAGCGGGAAUAGCCCAGCGCCGAAGCCAGACGCACGCCCGAUGUGUCUUGCCAUGUGGCGUUUGGUGCGGCAGAUCCGGGUAGGAGAUCAGCCUUCGGAGUCCCCUUGACUGGGGCUUUCCGUAGCGGGUGUCAGGCCCAUACGGAGGUUCGAUCUCCCGUCCCCCCUGUCCGUACCGUGGAGUCGGUCAGUUUGAGAUUGCUGACCCAAGUGGGAGGUAGUCCCCUCCUAAGGCUAAAUACUGGCGGGAGUCCGAUAGCGGACAAGUACCGUGAGGGAAAGCUGCAAAGUACUCUGAAGAGAGAGUUCAAAAGGACGUGAAGCCGUCUGCAGGGAAACGGGUAAGACCGCACGGUAGACCCGCGGCGGAUUCAGCUCCGGGGGUAACCUCGGGGUGCACUUCCGCGCCUGCGGGUCGCGCAGGGCCCGACUCGACGGCCGUCUGAAGCCCGGCGAGGAGGUGACGUGGAUCUUCGGAUCUGCGAGUUUAACUCGUCGGCGCGGAGACCGGCUGUUGGGUCGAGGAACGUCCAUCCGUCUUUGACGCGUGAGUUUUGGUCGGCUCGCUGGUUCGACUGGGUUGGAGCCCGUUUCUGAUGGGCUGCUCUCGACUGCCAGUGGGUUCCUCCGAGGCUUUUCGCCGGAUGACUAGGACACCUGUGCUCAGGUCGGCACCUUACCCGACCCGUCUUGAAACACGGACCGAGGAGUCUGACACAUGCGCGAGUCCGAAGGAUCGAAAAACCCGAGGGCGUASUGAAGGCGAAGGGAUGGCUCGUUCAACCCUAGGCGGGAUCUCUCCUCUCCGGAGGAGAGCGCACCGUCGGCCCCUCUCGACACCGCCGCGACGGUGGGAGGGAGACGGAGCGCAUGUGCCGGGACCCGAAAGAUGGUGAACUAUGCCCGGGCAGGUCGAAGCCAGAGGAAACUCUGGUGGAGGACCGCCGCGGUUCUGACGUGCAAAUCGAUCGUCCGACCCGGGUAUAGGGGCGAAAGACUAAUCGAACCAUCUAGUAGCUGGUUCCCUCCGAAGUUUCCCUCAGGAUAGCUGGCGCUCGGGACACGCUGUUCCAUCCGGUAGAGCGAAUGAUUAGAGGCCUUGGGGACGAAACGACCUCAACCUAUUCUCAAACUUCGAACGGGKGGGAAGCCCGUGGCUUCUUAAUUGAGCCCGUGGCCUUCAAAGCACGAGUGCCAAGUGGGCCACUCUUGGUAAGCAGGACUGGCGCUGUGGGAUGAACCAAACGCCGGGCUAAGGCGCCCGAUACACUUUUUCGGAGUCGCUCAUCGGAGACCACGAAAGGCGUUGGUCGAUCCAGACAGCAGGGCGGUGGCCAUGGAAGUCGGAACCCGCUAAGGAGUGUGUAACAACUCACCUGCCGAAUCGACUAGCCCUGAAAAUGGAUGGCGCUGGAGCGACGAGCCUAUGCCCGGCCGUCGGGGCAGGGAGUUUUCUCUCAUCUAUGCUCCGACGAGUAGGAGGGUCGCCGUGGUGCGCGUCGAAGGUGCGGGCGUGAGCCCGACUGGAGCCGCCACGGGUGCAGAUCUCGGUGGUAGUAGCGAAUAUUCCGACGAGACCUCGGAAGACCGAAGUGGAGAAGGGUUCCAUGUGAACAGCAGUUGAACAUGGGUCAGCCGAUCCUAAGUCAUAGGCGAACGCCAUUCUGAAGGCGCGGGACUUUUUCCUCUCAYAUGAGUAACUGUCCCCGGAAUGAGCGAAAGGGAAUCCGGUCAAUAUUCCGGAGCGUAGACGCCGAGACCGUGGUUGGGGUUCGCCCCUUCCAAGCGCGGUAACGCGAGCGAUCUGGGGGACGUCGUCGUCAGGCCGGGGAAGAGUUCUCUUUUCUUUGUAAGGUCGCAGGCAGCCUGGAAGGGGUUCGCCCCGAGAGAGGGUGCAACAGCGAUAUUUCCGCAAAGCUCUGCGGCUCUCGCAGAGUCCCGAGUCCUGUCGCCGGCCCUUGAAAACCCCAGGGAGGCACUUCGGUGGAAUCUGGCGCUACGUCGUACCCAUAUCCGCAGCAGGUCUCCGAGGUGAACAGCCUCUGGUCGAUAGAACAAUGUAGGUAAGGGAAGUCGGCAAAAUGGAUCCGUAACUUCGGGACAAGGAUUGGCUCUAAGGGCCGGGGCGGACGGGCUGCGAAACGAGAUGGCGGGACGGGUCGCCGAGGCGGGACCGGACAAAGUUUGAGGCCGAGCUGGGCAACCGGCCUUGGCCGAGGACGGCGUUUGGAUCUGCCGAGGGGCCUUCCGUCGGACCGCUCCAGCUGCGAGGCGGCAUUGGGCACCGGGCUCGCGCUCGGACCGUUCGGUGUCGUUCUCUUCGUCCGUCGAGCAACGGUCAACUUAGAACUGGCACGGACCUGGGGAAUCCGACUGUCUAAUUAAAACAAAGCAUCGCGACGG
rnacentral:rRNA from 2 species